CUGCUUUGGCAGCAUAUAUACUAAAAUUGGAACGAUACAGAGAAGAUUAAUACGGCCCCUGCACAAGGAUGACACGCAAAUUCGUGAAGCAUUCUAUAUUUAA